AAACAAAAUGUCAUAUUUUGGGUAAAAUGUUAGUAGACGUUUCUAAGAAACUUUUUUGUAAAUAAUGUUCUAAUCAGGGGACAUUUCAACAUUUUAGAAACAUUUCAAAACAACGUUCCCACAAUGUGUUUAUAACCUAACUCUGUGACCUGAGACGUAACUGGAGAGCAAUGAGGUUCAGAAACGACGGAUAACUGAUAUCUUCAGCUGAAGAAGGAAAGACAUGUCGGAGAUGGAGUGAGCGUCUCCAUAAAGAAGCAGAGAGAAAGUGUCCAUCUCUGUUUUCAGGAGCAGCACAAAGGACAACGUUCAUUAAUUAUUCCGGCGUAGCAGCUCAGCAGCGAGCGGAGAAGGUCUCUCUCCGGACAGAUGGCUGCCGUUUGUCCGUUUUAAUGGAAAGACGAUUGGAGGUGGAUCUCGGUGUGUCCUGGCAUGUUAAUCUACACCACGUGUUUGUUUAGGAGUGUCUGAAAGAUUUACUCCCUCAAGACACAGACGACUCAAACACCAACCGGAAGUGAACAGGUGCUGCUGGGAAAACACUUAUUACUCCCGUUCAUCGCCACCGACGUCUACCAACAACACACAGCAUGACCGUCAGGGCUAAUUAUAGUUGACAACAACUAAAACUCAAAUUAAAUGUAAAAGUAUAAAAAUAAAAAAAAAUUCAAAAUAAAUAAAUAAAUAAAUAAAUAAAUAAAUAAAUAAAUAAAUAAUAAUAAAAAAAAAAAAAAAAUAUAUAUAUAUAUAUAUAUAUAUAUAUAUAUAUAUAUAUAUAUAUAUAUAUAUAUAAUACUUUUACAUUUAAUUUGAGUUUUAGUUGACGUCAGCUAUAAUUAACCCUAUAUAUAUAUAUAUAUAUAUAUAUAUAUAUAUAUAUAUAUAUAUAUAUAUAUAUAUAAAACUACUUUUUUAUUUAUUAUUAGCAAAUGCAGCAUUUCUCUUUUCCUUUUUAUUUUCAAAUUGAUGUGCUAAAAUAACAAACUAAAAUGGAAAUAAAAAUGAAAAACUACAUAUAUAUUUAACAAAAAUAAUAAUAAUAAUAAUAAUAAUAAUAAUAAUAAUAAUAAUAAUAAUAAUAAUAAUAAUAAUAAUAAUAAUAAUAAAAAUGACAAAAGUACACCAAUACAGCCAGGCUUUACCUAAAACUGAAACAAUAAAAAUAUUUGUUACUUGAAAUAGAAAUAAAAUUUAAAAUGGUAAAGAAACAAUUAAUUCAAUUUAAUGUUAAAAUAAAAUAAAAUAAAAUAAAAUAAAAUAAAAUAAUAAAAUAAAAUAAAAUAAAAUAAAAUAAAAUAAAAUAUGACAAAGCAAAAUCUCAUUCAGUUAAAAUUUAAACACAAUCAAAAAUAAAAAAAUAAAUAAAUGGCAAAACAACAUCUCAUUCAGUUUAACAUGAAGUACUACAAAUAAACCUAAAAUUAUAUAUAUAUAUAUAUAUAUAUAUAUAUAUAUAUAUAAUGACAAAAACAAAAAAAUGUUGACUAAAAUUAAUUAAAAUGAAAGCUAUUAAAAAUACUAAUUCAAAAUAUUAUAUCAUAUAUCUAUCAUUCUAUCAUAUUCUACUAGCAUAGUAACUCAAUGAUACUAAAAAUUAUACUAAAAUCCAGACAAACUGAUUUUUAGCAAUAACAUUGAAGAAAAAGCAUACCAUCAAUUUCAUCAGAAUAAAUAAAAACAAUACUGAAAUACACUGUUACAUCAGAAGCCCAAACCAGAAGUUUGCAGAGACUCGAGCGAAGGCUCUUCUGCGUUAAAUUAAUAUUAAAGUUAUUGCUGGAAGAUUGUGAGUGAAAAUCGCUCUUUCACAUAUCAAAGCUUCUCUCUUCAGAACAAGACACAAACUGAGAUGAAUAAUUCGUCUUCGUAAUACUUAGGCCUAAGUUUGUCAGAAAAUAUGAUCUGCUGAAAUGAAUCAGAUUCGGGGAUAUUCUCUCAUGGCUCCGCUCUCCUGUUGAGCCCAAUCUGAACAAAUAUGCAGAAAUAACCGUGCAGGUUGUGAUUAAGAUUUUAAAU
ensembl:lncRNA